rnacentral:misc_RNA from 1 species
UCUCCGGUGGUGAACCAGCGGAGGGAUCAUUACCGAGUUUACAACUCCCAAACCCCUGUGAACAUACCUGUUUUGUUGCUUCGGCGGUGCCCUCGCUCUCGCGGCGAGGCCCGCCAGAGGACCCAAAUAAACUCUUUGACUUUGAUCUAGGAUUAUACUUCUGAGUGAUACAAAAAAUAAAAUCAAAACUUUCAACAACGGAUCUCUUGGUUCUG